rnacentral:rRNA from 1 species
CCUACGGGGGGCAGCAGUGAGGAAUAUUGGUCAAUGGGCGCGAGCCUGAACCAGCCAAGUCGCGUGAGGGAAGACGGUCCUAUGGAUUGUAAACCUCUUUUGUCGGGGAGCAAAAGCCGCCACGCGUGGCUUUCUGAGAGUAUCCGACGAAAAAGCAUCGGCUAACUCCGUGCCAGCAGCCGCGGUAAUACGGAGGAUUCGAGCGUUAUCCGGAUUUAUUGGGUGUAAAGGGAGCGUAGGCGGGAGUGUAAGUCUGGAGUGAAAGGCGGGGGCUCAACCCCCGGAUUGCCCUGGAUACUGUACGGCUGGAGUGCAGGAGAGGUAGGUGGAAUGCAUGGUGUAGCGGUGAAAUGCGUAGAGAUUA